UUUCCUCUCUUUCUCCAUAUCUUCCUCCCUUCCUUUCUCUUACUCUCCCUUUCACUGUGGAUCAAAGGAACACAAACCCUCCGAUUGGUUCUCUCUCUUCCUCUCCCUCCCUCCCUCUCAUUCUUUCUCUCCCUCUCUUGCUUACCUCGGGGAGACCCAUCUGAUCGUUUCAGGAGUAGGAAAAAUCAUUCAGCCUCAUAUCUAGCAGGUUCAGGUUCGUUCUCCAGGUGACUGGCUACAUUUUCCUGCCCCCUUACACUGCACACAUCCUACACCUCAUCUGCCCCCUUCUGAGGUUCCAGUCAAGGGCAAGUUUCGAGCCAGGAUGAACUUACACCACCUCUGUCCCUGGUUCCUGCACUGUACCCAAUUCCUGACAUAACCGGAUCAGAGACUCCAAUCCAAGCCGCUGAAGCAUCCUGCCUGAAACACAGCUCCGUCUCAGCGCACUUAACACGACCAAUCACACAGCCGGCAGCCACGAAAUAAACUCACGCAUGGGUGAGAACGGCUGCCGAAUCGAUGCUGAAGGAUUUGUUCAGCCACAAAAUCUAUCUAAAUUGACUUAAAGGGAGAACUGAGGGGGCUAUUAGCAUCCAAGUGUUACUAAUCUCACACACUGGAGAAUUGAGUGUAUUAUCAGAAUGAGCGAUGACCGAACCAUCACCGCUUGAUUCACGCAAUUUAUCCAUGACACAUUGUUUUGAGCAAAAAAGCUUUAGUGAAAUUCGUUUUCAGAAGAAUAUCACAGUUUCUGUCAUGGUUUUGUAGUGCAGGAACAGAAGAACACCAGCAAACCCGGCGUAA